AAGAAGAUGAACUGGAACUUCAGUGUCGAUCAUGCAACACAACAUCAACAUAGGGUGGAUGGAAAAAUCCAAAUGCCUUAAACGGUUCUUAAGAUUUUUCGAGUUGCAAUUGUACUUUUGUCAACAAUACACUACGACAUCUGUUACAUGAAUGUGAGUUUUUUCUCUUUAAAAUAAUAAUAUUGUGUAAUAUUGUUGAUGACAUGGAAUCUUGGACUCAGUAUAGAGUUCUCAAGACACAUGAUCACCAUGGUUCUCUUCCAGAGGAGCUUGUUGGUUUUCCUUUGCUCCAAGAGCUAUAAUUAAAUCAAAUCACAAAUAUAAUUUUAUACCAUUUCCAAAGUAAUUCAAAAUUGUACUCCUAAUUUUCAGUAAUCUAGCCAGAAACUUCUUAUAUGGGUGAAUACCGGUAGAACUGGGAGUCUUACUUCUCUCCAAAUGUAAGUAAACAAGUCAUUUAAAAAAAUUAAGUAAAAA
rnacentral:lncRNA from 1 species